UAUCUUUUUAGUAUCAAUUAGUAUGAGUGACUUCCAAUCACCCGGCCUUGGUUAGAGCCCAAGAAAAGAUAA
rnacentral:tRNA from 1 species